GUGGAUAGUGGGUUUUUCCUAUUUCUCAAGGUAAACCAAACAUAUAUUAAAUAUAACAAGAUUGAACGGAAUAAAAUAUUCAAACAUGAACAGUAAAAUGCAGGAAAUGUAUGCAGUGCACUAAUGCAUUAUCAUUAUAAUUUUCAUAUCAAAGGCAUAAUUUACAAAUAUGCUGGACUUUCAAAUUCAAAAUGGCGAGCUAUGCAGUCUUGAAGAAGCUCUAUAUGACAUUUUCUCAAAAUCCAAGUGUAACAAUGUCCUUGAUGAAUCACUAACAGCAUUAGAAACAGGAGAUCUAUCUCAUCUGGUCAAGGAAGAAUUAAAAUGUACAAUACAAACAAGAAGACUAGCAAAAGGACAAGAUGAACUCAAAGUCGACUUUUCUGAAGAAAUCAAGUAUCAGCUUACAGAACAUGAACAGAACAAAAUUAUAAGAAGACGAGAACAAAAUAAAAUGGCUGCCAGGAGGUUUCGCAAAAGACGGAAACAAAAUAAGAAAACACUCUCCGAGAUCCAAGAACUUGAUCGUGAUAAUGAUGCAAAGAUGGAUGAAAUUAAGAGAUUGAGAGAAGAAAAAGAGACUCUUCUUAAACUUUUAAAUGAUCACUUACUUGUCUGUCCUGGCAUUCAAACGACUUUGUAAAAAAUCAUGAUUGUUGUGAUUUGAAAAAGAAUAUUUGUGUUGAUAUUCGUAUGAUUGUUGUUUAGAUUGUUUGUGAAUUGUGUAAAUGAGAAGGUGUUUCAAAAUUAUUUAUACAGAAAGUGUUUAUUAUAUUUUUAAAUUAUUUAAGUUAUACAGUUAUAAAUCAAUUUGUUGAGAAAUCAGGGAACAAGAUAUAGAUAUGGAUCAGAUUUUAAAAUGUGUGCAAUGUUUUGGUUGUUAUAUGUGUAUAUAUUAUGUGUGUUAAAUAUGUACACGGUUUGCAAGCGAUUAUAAAAAAUAAAUUAAGCAUCGAGUUA